GCAUGGUGUACAGUGGUUUGAGUGUUGGACUAUGACUCUGAAAAUCAGGGUUCGAUUCCCUGCUCAAGAA